rfam:Marchantia polymorpha subsp. polymorpha scaffold1971, whole genome shotgun sequence.
GUUUCCGUGGUGUAGUUGGUUAUCACAUCAGUCUAACACACUGAAGGUCUCCAGUUCGAAUCUGGACGGAAACA